ACGCUCGACACCUACGGGAGCAGCAGUUGGGAAUAUUGGACAAUGGAGGGAAACUCUGAUCCAGUGACGCCGCGUGAAGGAAGAAGGUCUUCGGAUUGUAAACUUAUUUUGUCAGGGAAGAAAAAAAUAGACUGUACCUGAAGAAAAAGACACCGGCUAACUACGUGCAGCAGCCGCGGUAAUCUGAGCGGGCGUGGCAAGGC
rnacentral:rRNA from 1 species